CAAUAACAAACGACUGGAAUUGUGUUAACAACUACGAUACAAAAAUGACAAGCGAUGUGAAAAAAUAAAAAAUGACAAUCACAGUGGUACAACUAUCACCGUCGUGGUUGCAAUAUCGGCCUCUUGCCUCCCCUUCCCGCGUGGCUCCGCCAACUCCAGUCAACGAGGGGCGCAAUUUGAGCUGCAGAGAGAGCCCACCACCGUCUCACACAACUGGAUGCUGUACCCCUUCCUCUACAGUAAAGCAGCCAGUUGUGAAGGCCGGCGGGGAGCGAGGUGCUGGGCCAGAGAGGGCCUCUUCCUCCCCCCACAAGCGUCUCCAUCGGCACCCCCGGAUCCACCUUCACGGUGGUGCCCGAGUAUGGAGGCGCAACUCCCGUCGAAGUGUAACGAUCCGUCCGUCUCACCGUACACCCCAACUAUGCCUCACGAAGCCGGCAACGCAAAGCGGACAACAACAACCAAGUAGGCAAGAGGCAGACGGGUCGCCAGGUAAGACAGAUCGCGACUCCAACAACAGGAAGUGCUGCCCACUGGCUUAUCGCGACACUGCCAGCCUCCGCACGUCGUGGCCACUGCUGCCCCUGCAGCCCCCAGCUCCCUCCCUCCCUCCAUGCCUUGCUCUCGCGUCCCCUGCAGAACCAGCUCUCGCUCAUCCAUGUAGCGCACGCAGAGAGUGGGGAACAUGACUUAAUUCACAGUUCCUGCAACCGCAGUCUAAUCCCUGCUUCACCAUUGAAUCCCUGUUACACACGCAUAGCCUAAGCGCUGCUUCACAGUUAAAACCCUGUUCACACCCGGUCUCAUCUCCACUGCACACACAGUCGAAUCCCUGCUGCACGCACAGUUUAAUCCUUUAUACAAGGCAUCAUGUUUGCAAUAACCACAACACAAGCAGUCAAAAUGCAAACAAAAAGAAACAACUGUGAUGAUGAUAAUGAUAUGCACUGUCCUUGAAAUUGAUUGGUCCACACCCGAGACAGCUUUUCUUAGAGCCUAGUCUCCAUUGGUGUUGGACCAGAUGACGCCAAAAGGCGUACAACUCAAAGACAAUGCACUAUCAGAGUAUUGAGAGCUCGGGGUAAGCAUUUACACUAAGACAUCUCCUUUACCAGUGUGUCAGUUAUUGUACCAAUUGAAAGGGUAAAAACCUAUUACUAUAUUUUGCCACUGGUAAAGGAGACGUCUCAUAGAGUUUAAUCCUUGUUUCACGAAGUAUAAUCAUUGCUGCACUCACAGGCAAAUAGCUACUUCACAGUUUAAACCCUGCUGCACGCCCAGUCGAAUCCCUACUCCACACCCAGUCGUAUCUCUGCUGCACCCACGGUCUAAUUCCUGCUGCACACACAUUCUAAUCCUCACUGCACACCCAGUCGAAUCCUUAUCUCUACUGCACUCCAGUCUUAUCUCUGCUGCACACACAGUCUAAUCCCCGAUAAACUCACAGUCGAAUCUGCACUGCACAUGGUCAACAUCAACACUGCUGCCUAAUAAUUAGGUACCAAUGUGCCUGGCCUAUGGGAACUAUGAAAAAGCAUUUGACUCAGUAAAAUGUAUGCAGUUAUCAAAACU